GACGAACGCUGGCGGCGUGCUUAACACAUGCAAGUCGAACGAAGAGCGACGGAAGCUUGCUUCUAUCAAUCUUAGUGGCGAACGGGUGAGUAACGCGUAAUCAACCUGCCCUUCAGAGGGGGACAACAGUUGGAAACGACUGCUAAUACCGCAUACGAUCUAACCUCGGCAUCGAGGAUAGAUGAAAGGUGGCCUCUACAUGUAAGCUAUCACUGAAGGAGGGGAUUGCGUCUGAUUAGCUAGUUGGAGGGGUAACGGCCCACCAAGGCGAUGAUCAGUAGCCGGUCUGAGAGGAUGAACGGCCACAUUGGGACUGAGACACGGCCCAGACUCCUACGGGAGGCAGCAGUGGGGAAUCUUCCGCAAUGGACGAAAGUCUGACGGAGCAACGCCGCGUGAGUGAUGACGGCCUUCGGGUUGUAAAGCUCUGUUAAUCGGGACGAAAGGCCUUCUUGCGAAUAGUGAGAAGGAUUGACGGUACCGGAGUAGAAAGCCACGGCUAACUACGU
rnacentral:rRNA from 1 species